rnacentral:rRNA from 1 species
UACGGAGGGGGCUAGCGUUGUUCGGAAUCACUGGGCGUAAAGCGCACGUAGGCGGAUUUGUAAGUCAGGGGUGAAAUCCCGGGGCUCAACCUCGGAACUGCCUUUGAUACUGCGAAUCUUGAGUCCGAUAGAGGUGGGUGGAAUUCCUAGUGUAGAGGUGAAAUUCGUAGAUAUUAGGAAGAACACCGGUGGCGAAGGCGGCCCACUGGAUCGGUACUGACGCUGAGGUGCGAAAGCGUGGGGAGCAAACAGG